AUCCUUUUGUAGUUCAUGACGUAUGAUGAUUGGGUGUUCACACGUUUGUGUGAGAUGUGCCACCUUAUUGACUCCUUGUUACGACAUUGGCACAUUUCCCGUCUGACC